CAUGAGGACAGAGUCACUGCCUGCCACAAUGUUCUGACUAAUCAGAGGCACUAGAAUUAGGUGGUUGCUACCAAUAUAAGACCCAUCAGAGGCCUAGGAUCAUGGACGGACCCAUGUACAGAGGGUCUGUUCAAAGUUCAGCUCUUAACCUCAACUGACAGUUUCAAAGUGAAAGAAAAUUGGGAGAAAUAAAAAGAAAGACAGAAUAAACAGCCAUAUUAGGAUAGAGAGGGACAAGAAAAUUGGUGUCCUCCAUGUUCUGGCAACUAACCAUGAGCAGCAUUCACACAGCUUCCACCUUUAAGAAAACUGCCCCUCAGUACAUCACCUCCUUCUCCUCGAAGGAAGAAGACACAGAUCCCUCAAAGCGAUUACUGGGAAAACUGAAGAGGAUGAACUUGCCUCAGGUCAGGACAUUUUCAGGAUGCUUCAGAUCUCAGGCCACGUAUGUCCCUUUAUCCUGAACAGGAUCUAUUACACAAUGGACUGCCUCUACUUCAGCUGCGGAUGUUCGGUCUGCACCUGGAUGUUGAAGGGAAAGGAAGAAGAAAACUUGAGUAUACAGAGAUGGCACAGGCAAAACUGGAUUGUUUAUAUUAAAAUAUUAAAAUAUAUGUUCAGUUUUCUUCAUCAGCUCUGAGCAACUGCCAUUUUAGCCGUAGCUACAAGAAUGAAGGCAGAGAGACUGGCCAUCUGUAGCUUUGCAUGGUAUUCUAUCCCUGUCUGAACAAUAGCUAUCUUUUCUGUAAUACCGAUACUAGAAUGAAACCUUGUCAGAAUUGAAUGAGGGGGUUAAAAAAAUGUUGUAAAGGCUUCUAUCAGUUGUAGUCUUGAGCAACAGGAGGAGCAUAAAGUAUCAAACCUGCAAGCAACAUGUGACUUCACGAACUCAGUUCCAUCAAAAGAGGUACAUAAAAGACCUUGCACUGCUUUGGAUGACAAUGCUCUGUGCAUUCAAUGCUGAAGGUCCUGUUGUUUCUGAAGAAGGUUCUCA